GUGCUGGGAAUAAAGGCGUGUGCCCCCAAGCCUGGCCAUCAAGAUUAAUGUGCCUAUCUGAACAGUAUGCUAUUGCACUUGGAUCUGUCCUUGGUCCAGCUUUAGAAACUCGAUGAACUAUAGGAAGUCUCUUAAGGCUGAAACUUCUCAUCACAAAUGGCCACUGACCUGUAACUUCCAG